AUAUGCAUGAACCGGUGUUCGAUCUCUUAUUCCAUCCCGCACCUAGCCGCAUCCACCUCUUCUGCCCCACAUUUAAUGCAAAAGAGAGAUAUUGCUAUUUUGCGGGAAGGCUCUGAGGCAUCGUUCUGAAAUUAUACGGUCAUAACUUGAUCUGGAUAAUACCAGCGAAAGGAUCAUGCUUUCUCUCCCC
rnacentral:ncRNA from 16 species